AUCCAGCUUGCUGGAUGCUGACGAGCGGCGGACGGGUGAGUAAUGCAUAGGAAUCUGCCCGGUAGUGGGGGAUAACCUGGGGAAACCCAGGCUAAUACCGCAUACGUCCUACGGGAGAAGGGGGGCUCCGGCUCCCGCUAUCGGAUGACCCUAUGUCGGAUUACUUAGUUGGUGAGGUAACGGCUCACCAAGGCCACGAUCCGUAGCUGGUCUGAGAGGAUGAUCAGCCACAUCGGGACUGAGACACGGCCCGAACUCCUACGGGAGGCAGCAGUGGGGAAUAUUGGACAAUGGGGGGAACCCUGAUCCAGCCAUGCCGCGUGUGUGAAGAAAGCGCUCCUCGUGUUGUAAAGCUCUUUCAGGAGAAAGAACACCGCCUAGCGGUUAAUACCCGCUAGGAAAGACAUCACUCGCAGAAGAAGCACCGGCUAACUCCGUGCCAGCAGCCGCGGUAAUACGGAGGGUGCAAGCGUUAAUCGGAAUUACUGGGCGUAAAGCGCGCGUAGGUGGCUUGAUAAGCCGGUUGUGAAAGCCCCGGGCUCAACCUGGGAACGGCAUCCGGAACUGUCAAGCUAGAGUGCAGGAGAGGAAGGUAGAAUUUCCCGGUGUAGCGGUGAAAUGCGUAGAGAUCGG
rnacentral:rRNA from 1 species